AGACAGAGGGUGCAAACGUUGUUCGGAAUUACUGGGCGUAAAGCGCGUGUAGGCGGCUAUGCAAGUCGGAUGUGAAAGCCCGCGGCUCAACCGUGGAAGUGCAUCCGAAACUGCGUGGCUAGAGUCCCGGAGAGGAAGGUGGAAUACUUGGUGUAGAGGUGAAAUUCGUAGAUAUCAAGUGGAACACCGGUGGCGAAGGCGGCCUUCUGGACGGUGACUGACGCUGAGACGCGAAAGCGUGGGUAGCAAACAGGAUUAGAUACCCUGGUAGUCCACGCCGUAAACGAUGAGUGCUAGGUGUCAGAGGCUUUGACCCUUCUGGUGCCGAAGCUAACGCGUUAAGCACUCCGCCUGGGGAGUACGGCCGCAAGGCUAAA
rnacentral:rRNA from 1 species